AACGACCUGUGAACAUGUAACAACAAUCCGGUGUCCUCGGCUAUCGGGCUUUUGUUCGAUUUGUUGGAUGCCUUGUCGAUGUGUGUGUUUGGUCAGCCCUUUGGGUCCUAAGGAUGUCACAUUGGCACAAAAACAACCCCCCGGCACGGCAUGUGCCAAGGAAAACUAAACAUAGAAAGGGCUCGUACCAUGUUUUCCUGUUUGCGGGAUUUACAUGGGAUGUAGCUUCUUUAUAGUAACAAACGACUCUCGGCAACGGAUAUCUCGGCUCACGCAUCGAUGAAGAACGUAGCAAAAUGCGAUACUUGGUGUGAAUUGCAGAAUCCCGUGAACCAUCGAGUUUUUGAACGCAAGUUGCGCCCGAAGCCUUUCGGUUGAGGGCACGUCUGCCUGGGCGUCACACAUCGCGUCGCCCCUACCACGUCUCCUCGAUAGGAAUACUUGGAUACGGGCGGAGAUUGGUCUCCCGUUCUUAUGAUGCGGUUGGCUAAAACAAGAGUCUCCUUUGACGGACACACGAUUAGUGGUGGUUGACAAGACCCUCUUAUCAAGUCGUGUGUUCUAAGUAGUAAGGAAGAUCUCUUCAAUUACCCCAAUGUGUCGUCUUGUAACGUUGCUUCGACUGCGACC
rnacentral:sRNA from 1 species